GGGUCGAUGGCGUAGUUGGUUAUCGCAUCUGUCUCACAUAGCCGCAGCGGGGUGUACACAGGAGGUCCUCAGUUCGAGCCUGGGUCGACUCA